CAAUAGCGUAUAUUAAAGUUGUUGCAGUUAAAAAGUUCGUAGUUGGAUUUCUGGUGGGAGCGAUCGGUCCGGCGCUUAGCGCGAGUACUUGCAUCGUCUCCGGCCAUCCUUGGGGAGAGUCUGUCUGGCAUUAGGUUGUCGGGCAGAGGAUCCUCAUCGUUUACUGUGAAAAAAUUAGAGUGUUCAAAGCAGGCUUAUGCCGUUGAAUAUAUUAGCAUGGAAUAAUAAGAUAGGACUUUGGUACUAUUUUGUUGGUUUGCGCACCAAAGUAAUGAUUAAUAGGGACAGUUGGGGGUAUUCGUAUUCCGUUGUCAGAGGUGAAAUUCUUGGAUUUACGGAAGACGAACUACUGCGAAAGCAUUUACCAAGGAUGUCUUCAUUAA
rnacentral:rRNA from 1 species